AUGACCAUGGUUGUCCUCAAGAACAUGUGGAUGUGGGAGCAAUUCCCAGAAAGGGGAAGGUGGGCAGACAAGCCAACAGCGUGUCCCACUAAAGAGGGUGGACUCCUGCUCUUAUCUCAGUGACAGAAGACAGCUUUGAAGGAGGAAAAAGAUCAUUCCCUUUGCUGGCCCUUGGACUGAAUACUUGGCACAGCAGUUUGGAACCAGAACAUCCCUUAAAAAUAAUCUACUUCAAUGGUUGGCAUCCAAGAGCCCCUUAAGGGUGGCGUCUUCACAUGACCUUUUAAUGUCUGUAUCUCUGAUCUUCUCAGUGUGAUGAGAAAAGAGAGUCACGCAGCUGGCAAAUGGCAGAGGCAUCAUUCAAACCCGGUGGCUGGCUCCACUAUUCUACUCUCAGCCACACGAUAAAGUGGCAAACAUUACCUCCUUCGCAGGGUUUGUUGAGAG